GAUGAACGCUAGCGGCAGGCUUAAUACAUGCAAGUCAAGGGGGUAGCAAUACAACCGGCGCACGGGUGAGUAACGCGUACACAACAUACCAUAUACUGGGGUAUAGCUUUGGGAAACUGAAGGUAGUCCCCCAUAACAUUGCGAGAGGGCAUCUGAUUGCAAUUAAAGUUUCGGCGGUAUAUGAUUGGUGUGCGUUUGAUUAGCUAGUUGGUAGGGUAACGGCCUACCAAGGCGACGAUCAAUAGCUGGCGUGAGAGCGCGACCAGCCACACUGGAACUGAGACACGGUCCAGACUCCUACGGGAGGCAGCAGUAGGGAAUAUUGGACAAUGGGCGCAAGCCUGAUCCAGCCAUGCCGCGUGAUAGAUGAAGGCCCUCUGGGUUGUAAAAUAUCCUUUUUAAUCUGGGAAGAAACUCCUCUAUUCGUUAGAGGCCUGACGGUACCAGAGGAAUAAGCACCGGNUAACUCCGUGCCAGCAG
rnacentral:rRNA from 1 species